UACGGAGGAGGCAAGCGUUGUCCGGAAUCAUUGGGCGUAAAGCGCGCGUAGGUGGCUUCGUAAGUCCGUUGUGAAAGUCAAAGGCUCAACCUUUGAAAGCCGAUGGAUACUGUGAAGCUAGAGUACGGAAGAGGCGAGUGGAAUUCCUGGUGUAGCGGUGGAAUGCGCAGAUAUCAGGAGGAACACCAAUAGCGAAGGCAGCUCGCUGGGACGUUACUGACACUGAGGCGCGAAAGCGUGGGGAGCGAACAGG
rnacentral:rRNA from 1 species